rnacentral:rRNA from 1 species
UACAGGGGGGGCAAGCGUUGUUCGGAAUUACUGGGCGUAAAGGGUUCGUAGGUGGCCAACUAAGUCAGACGUGAAAUCCCUCAGCUUAACUGGGGAACUGCGUCUGAUACUGGAUGGCUUGAGUGUAGGAGAGGAAUGCGGAAUUCCAGGUGUAGCGGUGAAAUGCGUAGAUAUGACAUAGAACACCGAUAGCGGAGGCAGCUUGCUACACGAUCAUUGACACUGAGGCACGAAAGCGUGGGGAGCAAACAGG